rnacentral:rRNA from 1 species
GGAAGGGCGCAGUUCGGCUGGGCCUCGCACAGGUGCUGCAUGGCUGUCGUCAGCUCGUGUCGUGAGAUGUUGGGUUAAGUCCCGCAACGAGCGCAACCCUCAUCCUUAGUAACCAGCGGGUAAUCCCGGGCACUUUAAGGAAACUGCCAGUGAUAAUCUGGAGGAAGGUGCGGAUGAUGUCAAGUCAGCACCGCCCUUAUGGGGUGGGCUACACACGUGCUACAAUGGCGACUACAAUAGGUUGCAACGUCGCAAGGCUGAGCUAAUCCGUAAAAGUCGUCUCACUUCGGAUUGUCCUCUGUAACUCGAGGGCAUGAAGUCGGAAUCGCUAGUAAUCGUGGAUCA